rnacentral:misc_RNA from 1 species
CUCUAUCCCCCGCAUCAUGUUGUGUGGUGGACCGUGGCCACGGCAACGGAUGCGCGCAGGUGCACACACGCAUUAGCAGCCAUUCGCACGCACGCACAUAGAGACGUACGUACGCGUACACUCACAGACGCACACACGCGCACACGCCGAGUGACCCACCAAUUGCACAGGGCUACCCUGCGCGGUCCUCCUAGCGUGCGGCACGCCCCUCUCCUCCCUCGCAGCAAUAGAAGUAGCAGUGCCGAGACACGGAGGGGGGAGGAGGGGCACCAGCGCCUAGCGUUGCGCAAGUCGUAGCUUCCGUCUCGUCCUCCCCCUACAUCUCCGCGCAUAAACACACACACACACACACACACAAAACGCACACACAGGUACGCCCACCGCUUAGACACGCGAACCCAGCAGCUGUGGCGCCGUACACUGCACGUCGUUCGAGCCUCCUUCUUUUUCGCUCUCUCUUGUUUCUAUCUGUCAUCCACUUCGACACCCAUAGACUGUGCACCUCUGCUUGGUGCCUGGCGCAGCGCCAUUACCUGCCUCCCCCCUCACGUCUGCGCGCGUGUGCUCCUCUGGUGGUGGCUCUCAUCUUGGUCCAGCCGACCACACAGACACGCACACGCGCACGAAACAAAAAAACGAUCGUAAUGAGUGGCGAGGGCGUCCAUUCCCUGACGCAGCGGUUGCUGUCCUUGGAGGACAUCAUCCGGCAGCAGGAGCAAACGAUCAGCGCGGUGCUGCAGCGGCUGCGCGAUGUGGAGCAGCACGCCGCGGCGGAGUCGCACAACCGCGAGCAGGCGCAGCAGCAAGUGUACGCGCUCCUCAGCGAUCGCGGCGGCGCCACCGCGGAGGCCGUCAAUCAGAUGCAGACGCUUUUGCGAAAUCACGACGAUCGUCUCAGUGCGCUGCAGGCUGAGGUCCAGGGGCACGGCGUGGCGUUGCGCGGCGUCAGCGACAAACACGAUGCGGCGUUCCGUGGAAUGGAGCAGCGUCUCCAGGCGGACGCCAAUGGCGCGCACCAGCGCGCGCAAACCGGUGAGGCCGCAUCUGCUGAAGCAAUGCGCGCGAUUCAAGCGCAGCUGCAGAGCCUGGCGAACGCGACGCAGGCCAUCGAAGCUCGCAACCAUGCUAAUCUACUGGCGCUCCAGCAACAGAUGAGCGCCGAGAUCGCCGCGCAGCGCCAGCGAAGCGACAACCUAGAGAGCGCCAUGCGCGAUGCACUGCGCGACGUGCACGGGUCCCUUUCUGGUGAUGUGCAGAGCGCCGGUGCUCAGCAGCGCGGUGAUCUGGAGGGCGCGGUGCAGCGCAUCAACCAGAAACUCGAGUCUCUCGACCAGCGUACACGCCUUGACAUGAAUCAGCUACACAACACUGAGCAGGCCGACGUCAGCGACUUGCGGCGCCGCGUUGGCGAGCUGGAGUUCAGUUUGAGCGAGAUGGUCCAGGCUGCCACGAACGGGCUGGCGCGCGAGGUGGCACAGGUAGCGCAACACAGCCAGAUGCUGGACAAACGGCAGGAAACAGCGCACCAGGCAAUCCUGCAGGAGCUCGCCAAGCACGACAGUCAGCUAGAGACCGUGGACCUCAACUGGCGGGCGAGCGUCACCGACCUCAGCGUCAAGAUGCGCGAGGAUGUGGCUGCCACACAGCACCGUGCAACAGCGGGUGAUCAAGCGUUGCAGUCCCAGAUCGGCGGUGUACAGGAUCUUUUUGUUGCUGCAACUGAUAAACUACGCCGUGAUUUGACGGCGCUGACAACAACUGUGCAGGAGAAUUGUAUAAAGCCACUCCAGCAGGCGCACCACGCACUGAGCAUACAGGAGCAGCGCAUGAGCCGCAUCGCCGACGACUACGCCUCUACGCAGGACUAUCUGAGGACGUUCGUAUCGCACGUCGACAAGGAUGUGACACAGUUGAAGCACGUUUUCGAGGCUGCGGUGCGAUCCGCGCACUCCGACCUACUGGAGCGCAUCAACGUCAUCGCGGCGUCGCACACGAUAAACCAAGACCGGGAGAUGCUCCGUGCGGAGGUGAAUCGUGGUUUGGGGAGGCUCUGGGAGGAUGCCAAGAACAUGUUUUUGACGCAGCGCAGCUUGAAUGAUAUCCAGAAGCAGCUGAUGAUGCUGGAGAGCGCCGUGCGCGUGGAGCUCUGCGCGUUGGCGGAGCGGAACACAGACGUCUGGCGCACGAUCGACGAUCUCCGCAUCGGGCGGCUUCGCGCAGCCCAAGAGCCGAUCACGUCAGCCAUAGCCACCAGAAUAGCUCCGGAGGAAAGCCCCUUUCGCGAUUCAGCUGCCGCCAAUGCCGUCACCUCUGCUGUGACAACUCCCGUUGCAGGUUCCCCCUCUCGAGUGCCCCUGAAUCAAGUAUCGGCGGUGCAGGCAGAUGCCCUCAAGGCAUCGCCAGAGCAGAUCAGGACUGCAGCAACCGCCGCCAUUGCGGCGCCGUGGUCGUCGAUCUCGGCAAAGACGUCGCGCGCCAGCUCCGCGGCGGCGAAGGCGGAGGAAAUCUGCAGGGCCAGCGAUGAACAUAGCGAGCGUCUGCGGCAGCAUGAGGAGGACAUCAAAGGGCUGCGGGCCUCCUUGCAGCGACUGCGCAUUGCGCAGGCGCAAGACUUCAGCAAAUCGGCGAGCGCAACCCAGUGGGACAGCGCGUCACCAACGAGCACUGCAGCAGCCGCUGCCGCCCAGGACGAUGACACAUCCGGGGAGGCUAGGUCGGCCGCGCGAGAGGCAGCAACGCACGUUAAGGCUACAGAGUCGGCGCAGGACGAAAGCGUGCACGCGGCCAAAGAGCUUCCGCUUGACCUCCAGGUGGUCGACAAGCUCGAAGACUCGCUGCAGAUGCAGUUGGGAGAGCUGAAGGCCAUGCAAGCAGCUACAGUACCUGGGGAGCAAGGGCAAUCUUUACAGUCGUCGCCACCCUCGAAGAAAAUCAAAAAGCCGAUGGCAGCGCCGUUCUCCACGAAGGCCACGCCAUCACGCUCGGUGCUCUUCAAGAAGCGCGUCGUCAAGGAGGAGGGAGCCGCGACACAUGAGGCAGAGGACGAAGCUGCAGCACAUGAGGCAGAGGAGGAUGAACAUGGCGUUAGCGACACUGUUGCUUUUACCAUAUCUUACCCACCGCAGAAGGCUAAGAGCCACACUAGUCUCUCUGCGGACGCCGCCGCGGCACCGGAAGAUAACCUCGUCGAGGUUCCCGGCAAGUCGACCGGCGAGGUUUUCAUUUUGCGCCAGGACACGCUAGGCGUUACGUCGCCGGUCUCAGUGCGGAUGCGACCGGCCACCACGGGCUCUGCCACAAUCCUGGCAAAGCCAGUGACCUCGUCGGACGCGCUUGUGAAGUCGAAUUCGAGAGAGAGUGCCGUGAAGAAGCCGUUUCCCAGUCGCGGCACCACCUUGUCCGAGGUGCUGCUGCCCACCUGUCAGUUCGUGCGUAAGCGCGAGUAUGCCAACUUCAGAGACUUCACCAAGCGGGAGAUCGACGCCGUUUGGGUAGAACUGCUGAACGUGCGUCGUUCCCGCGGUCUUUCGAAGGAAGAGCUGCUGCUGCACAUCAGCCGGAGCAAGGAGGAGCUGCUGAACACGGUACUCAAGAUUGUGCAGCAGCAUGAGAGAGAGCUGCUCGGCAUGCUGACCAGCAUUAAGACCCAGCUCACGGAGAUGUAUCGCAACCCGCACUCCAUGCGGGAUAUUCGUGUGUUUCCUAUCGACGGCGGCCAGCGCCUGGAGGAGUUUGUGCGCUCCCUCUCAGGCCAACUGAAGGACAUGCCAGUCGCAACCGAGCCGGUGCCCGCAUCAACUCCAAUCAACACCGUCGGGCCGUCCGAGGAUGGAGGGCAGAAGACGCUGUCGCAACCAGCCACACACGAGCUUGGCGAACGGUGCGCAGCGACGUCUCCCACGGCAGCCGUGACGCCGUCUGGGCAAUCCCUGCUCUCUACACCACGCGGCGACCAAGGCGGGGUAGACACGACACUCUCGAGCGCACCCUCUUCCUCGCCGAUGGAGCCGCAGCUCAUUCAUCCGAUGGUACACCGCCACGCCAGCCAUCCCACCCUCAAGUCCGAGUCGCAGGGCGUCUUGCACGUCAGCAUCGACGAGAUGGCCUCAUCGAAGCUCGACGGCUCCCCUCAGUGCGAACCGUCACACUGCUUGGCGCCGAAGCGCGCAUCCUCGACAGACCAGAAGCAGGUGCGGCAGCACACCCCAACCACCUUCGUGAAUCCGCAAGUAACGGCUCCUGCACCGCCCCUGUCCGAAGCGGAAGGCAUCAGGUCGCACUCCCUUCCUGCUGGCACGUCUUCGACGUCAGCGCAGCUAUCCCAGACCCAGCUACCGUUACCAUCAUUGACGCCUAUUGGGUUCGAGCCUCAUCUGCCGCUUGAUGGCUUCCCUGCGGUCGCUUCUGCUGGUCCCCGCCCAGGGAGUGGUAGUGAACCCUCUUGCUAUGUUUCUCUGCACGCAGAUCGCACCGGUGCGCCGUUGGACCUGCUGCGGAGACCGAGCGACUCGGCCAUCCGUGGCUGCGCCGGCGACGACCCGGUGCGCUACGUGAAAGGAUCCAACUCGCCGUGCAGCCGGACGGGCAGCUCCAUCCACCUCAACCCGCUGCACGGGGUCGGCGUCACCAAUUGUCUGCCUCUUGCUGAGACGGAAGCUCUUCAAGCGUCAAUCGUGACAGCUGCGCCGGGCACGGCGUCGGUCGCACAGUCUAUGGACGGCGGGUUGCAGGUCCUUGAUGAUGUGGGACAGCCAGACACAUGGGCGCCUUCGCAUCAACGUUCUCGAGACUCGUCUUGCUUGCGCGCGGCUGCUCAAACGGGGAAGCCAGAUGCACCGCGGCAAAACGACGCGUCGCUUGAGGAGCACCACUUCUCUCAUAUUCGCCAAGAGAGCGAGACCUACUACCAGUCGGUAGAGAACAUGCGGCCGUCGCGCAGCGGCGUGCGGCGUCGGUCUGCGGGCACCGCAGCGUCCCCUUCCGCCAUUGACGGUGCUUCGCCUCUGUGCGCCAGAGAGCCAGGACAUCUCUACCACCGUCAGACCCUGACGUGGAGGCAGCCGCAGCCCUACGCGCCGCCUCACCAUCUUCCCUCUCCAGUGUCGCAACCGCAGCGGCGCGACUACAGCUCAGCGCCAAACGACUGCAGCAACUCGGUGCCGAUAGGCAUUGACCCGCCGCGUCCACCUGCGCAUGUCCACUCACUUUCAUCAACUGGGACCAUCCAUCUGGGGCCCUACGGGAGGCCGGCAGGUGCCAACACUGGAGGCUGCAACGGUGGCAGCAGCGUGCGCUACGUGCACAGCAGCUCACAGUCGUUCAGCUCUACAGCACAAGAGCAGCACCGUUCCUCGGGGAAGGUGUCGUCGAAUACGGUUGCGGUGCGCGUCCUCGACGACCCUGUGAGCGGAGCAGACGACUCAAGUAGAACGGACAAGUCCUCGGCGGUCACCAUCCGCCCGUACCACGAGUUCUGAUAAAAGGGCUGGAGGCGCAGUGUUCGAUGCUCUUUGGUGCUGCGGCGAGGUGGUUGAUGGUGCGGCGUGGACUGCACAUGAGCUCACACUCCUCAUUUGUGCUCAACGACGGCUCUGAUCCACUCACCACACCCACGCGCCUGCGCGCAGUGCGCUGCACAAUGCUGUGAUGCAGCGCUGGCUGUCUAUUGCUCCUCCCAGAAACGCACGCACGCCUAGAGAGUAGAGUGUGCCGACGUUACUGCGGCUGUGUUUCCGCGGUUCGGUGGCGAGGAGAUGGACGGUGGGGGCGAGUGGCGGUCUUUUCAAUCCGUCUGUUCUUGCUGCAGAACUGUCCAUGCAUGCACGCUCAUGUGUGCGCGUGUGGGGGAGUGGGAGCAGGUGCCGGACACUGACAAACAAUGAUGAGACGAGUCAGAGCGCGAGGUUGUGUCUGAUGCGCCUCCUUUCUGUAUCUCUCGGGGUGUCUCUUGCCAAAUCCUUCCCUCACGCUACCCCCCUGAAAGCCUCAUGAAAGGCCCCCCCUCCCUCCUCCCGCCCGCCCCUCACCUAAGACGGAACCGUUGGCAUCUUUCAUGUGCACAACACGUACUGUACAUCAUCCCAGGUGCUGAUGCUUCCCCCUCAAACAACAUCCCUAACCAUAUCAAGUUGCUCUCCGUCUUUGCCUACUCGGGCCAUCUUGUCACUAGCUAAGGUGGCAGCUCGUGUGCCGCACACAAACCCACACGCACGCAAACGCACAUACACGUAAACACACACGCCGGCUUCAUUCGUGUGUGUGUGUGUCUCCUGUCCGGUCAGCCACGGACUUCCGCCGAACUCUCCCUCUCCCUCUCACGCGUCGCAACACGCAGAGGCAGCGAAGUGCCCAUGCGGGCAAACAUUUGAGAUUGCUCUUCACGCUGGGGAGGCGAUGCAGGGAUGUCCGUGUGCCCUUGCUCUGC